rnacentral:ncRNA from 18 species
GCAGUGCCAUGGUCGCCUGCAAUAAAAACUAAUCAAUAAAACAAAGGCGCAGGAAUCUGCGCCUUUUUU